AUUGAACGCUGGCGGCAUGCUUUACACAUGCAAGUCGAACGGUAACAGGCCGCAAGGUGCUGACGAGUGGCGAACGGGUGAGUAAUGCAUCGGAACGUGCCCAGUCGUGGGGGAUAACGCAGCGAAAGCUGUGCUAAUACCGCAUACGAUCUAUGGAUGAAAGCGGGGGACCGUAAGGCCUCGCGCGAUUGGAGCGGCCGAUGUCAGAUUAGGUAGUUGGUGGGGUAAAGGCCUACCAAGCCGACGAUCUGUAGCUGGUCUGAGAGGACGACCAGCCACACUGGGACUGAGACACGGCCCAGACUCCUACGGGAGGCAGAAGUGGGGAAUUUUGGACAAUGGGCGCAAGCCUGAUCCAGCAAUGCCGCGUGCAGGAAGAAGGCCUUCGGGUUGUAAACUGCUUUUGUACGGAACGAAACGGCCUGGGUUAAUUCCCUGGGCUAAUGACGGUACCGUAAGAAUAAGCACCGGCUAACUACGUGCCAGCCGCCGCGGUAAAAC
rnacentral:rRNA from 1 species